CGGACUGUUCAACUCACCUGGCAGCCACUCCCAGAGCUCCUGGAACUCUGGCCCUAGGCUCUCUGACUCCUUCUUGGCUUACCGGCUGAAGACUGACACUGCCCGAUCACCUCGGAAGCCCCCUAGACCAUCACGGAUGGCAAGCUUCGGGUAACUCUCACAGAGGAAGACACCAGUUGGAGACAAUUCAGCCUCAUCGUCCCUUGCCAAAGGAUGCAAUGAUUCUUAAGGUUACCCUGUGGUGUGGAGAGAGAAACCGUUUAAGAACAUCUGGUGUAGAAGAUCAGGAAUAUGAAAGAGGCUUCAGGAACAAGGUUUUAUUGGGAAAAUUUAUCAGCCUCUCUACUACAGAUCAAUAAAAACUGACAUUAAAAUCUAACUGGGUUGGGCUUAAUCUGAAGGUUUCUGUGAGACAGAAUCGUGGGUCUUGUCAUCUGCAUGGAGAUUCGCUCAAAUAGAUGAUGGUACAAAAGAAACACCCCUGGCCAGGCGCAGUGGUUCGUGCCUAUAAUCCCAGCAGUUUGGAAGGCCAAGGCCGGCAGGUGGUUUGGGCCCAGGAGUUCAAGACCAGCUUGGACAACAUAAGGAGACCUCAUCUCUACUAAAAAUUAAAAAAAAAAAAAUUAGCUGGGCAUGGUAGCAUGUGCCUGUGGUCCCAGCUACUUGGGAAUCCCAGCUACAUGGGAACUUGAGCCCAAGAGAUUGAGGCUGCAGUGAGCCCUGAUCGCACCACUGCACUCCAGCCUGGGUGACAGGGUGAGACUCUCUGUCUCAAACAAAAAUCAAACAAAAGAAACACUCCAAGAAAAGAGCCAACUCUGGUUUAUGACUCUGUACCCUUAGGUUGAAUGCCAAGUUCAUGGGAAUCAUCCGAGAAGCCGGGACAAGAGCUGCUGUUGAUGGGAGGCUGUGAAUUGUGCUUUUAGUGACUCGCUAAGCAUAGAACACUGACACUCAGGGCACACUGGGUGCUGCAAUUUCCAGAAGGGAAAGGAAAUAAAAAGGGUUCACCUUCUAUGUCUCAAUUUUAUCUCUUAUUAACAGGAACAGCUGGAUAGAGUACACAGAUAUGCUGCUGUGUGAGUCCCUGUGGAAAGGUACCUCCUGGGGAUCACCAGCAGGAAAAGUCCCUCAAACACAGAAAGCUUGGAGGGGACUGAUCCGACAGAGUCAAAGACACUUAGGCUGUUUCAUGUUCAAACAUUAGAGAAUUUUUAUAAAAUCAUAUAGCAGAAUUUAAGAAUUUCUUAGAAAAUAGAUGGGAUAGAUACCAAACACCAAAAUCCGAUCACAUUUAUUAUGACUUUUUCGUGCUUAUUUCUCUCCUCUUUUCACUUACCAGUGAAUAGCCACAUAAUUAUCCUACUAAACCAAUCCAUAAGGCUUCCUGGGAUUCAGCCCAGGGUUUUUAGCUCUAGGAAGCCUUCCUUUCAAUUCUGACAAAGUGGUCAUACCUCUUGGUGUUUUCAUCGCUAUUCAAAUACACAGUAUUGAAAACACAGAUUGAUAUCCUGCCAGCCUCUCAUUUGAUCACCCCAAGGUGAACAGAUUUAUGAGCUGUGACUAUAAGAUAAUGAGGACGCUUUUUAUAAACUCUCUCUUAGAGUGAUACCAACAGGGGCACCAACUAUACUUUGAAUAAUAACCUCAUCUUGAGAAUAAAUG
rnacentral:lncRNA from 1 species